UACGAAGGGGGCUAGCGUUGUUCGGAAUUACUGGGCGUAAAGGGCGCGUAGGCGGUGUGUCAAGUCAGGCGUGAAAGCCCCGGGCUCAACCUGGGAACCGCGCUUGAGACUGGCACGCUCGAGUUCGGGAGAGGGUGGUGGAAUUCCCAGUGUAGAGGUGAAAUUCGUAGAUAUUGGGAAGAACACCGAUGGCGAAGGCAGCCAUCUGGACCGACACUGACGCUGAGGCGCGAAAGCGUGGGGAGCAAACAGG
rnacentral:rRNA from 1 species